UGUGGAAUAUUGGACAAUGGGUGAGAGCCUGAUCCAGCCAUCCCGCGUGUGUGAAGAAGGCCUUCGGGUUGUAAAGCACUUUUAUCUGGAGCGAAAUCUGCAGGGCUAAUACCCAUGCAGUCUGACGGUACCAGAGGAAUAAGCACCGGCUAACUUCGUGCCAGCAGCCGCGGUAAUACGAAGGGUGCAAGCGUUACUCGGAAUUACUGGGCGUAAAGCGUGAGUAGGUGGUUUCUUAAGUCUGCUGUGAAAGCCCCGGGCUCAACCUGGGAAUUGCAGUGGAUACUGGGGAGCUAGAGUACGGUAGAGGGUAGUGGAAUUCCCGGUGUAGCGGUGAAAUGCGUAGAGAUCGUGAGGAACACCCGUGGGGAAGGUGGCUACGUGGACCAGCACUGACACUGAGUCACGAAAGCGUGGGGAGCAAACA
rnacentral:rRNA from 1 species